GACGAACGCUGGCGGCGUGCUUAACACAUGCAAGUCGAACGAUGAACCCGGAGCUUGCUCCGGUGGAUUAGUGGCGAACGGGUGAGUAACACGGGAGUAACCUGCCCUUGACUCUGGGAUAACUGCGGGAAACUGUAGCUAAUACCGGAUACGGUCCACGGCGGCAUCGCCAGGGGGUGGGAAGAAUUUCGGUCAGGGAUGGACUCGCGGCCUAUCAGCUAGUUGGUGAGGUAACGGCUCACCAAGGCGACGACGGGUAGCCGGCCUGAGAGGGUGACCGGCCACACUGGGACUGAGACACGGCCCAGACUCCUACGGGAGGCAGCAGUGGGGAAUAUUGCACAAUGGGCGCAAGCCUGAUGCAGCAACGCCGCGUGAGGGAUGACGGCCUUCGGGUUGUAAACCUCUUUUAGUAGGGAAGAAGCGAAAGUGACGGUACCUGCAGAAAAAGCACCGGCUAACUACGUGCCAGCAGCCGCGGUAA
rnacentral:rRNA from 1 species